rnacentral:rRNA from 1 species
AGUGAACGCUGGCGGUAGGCCUAACACAUGCAAGUCGAACGGCAGCACAGAGGAGCUUGCUCCUUGGGUGGCGAGUGGCGGACGGGUGAGGAAUACAUCGGAAUCUACUCUGUCGUGGGGGAUAACGUAGGGAAACUUACGCUAAUACCGCAUACGACCUACGGGUGAAAGCAGGGGAUCUUCGGACCUUGCGCGAUUGAAUGAGCCGAUGUCGGAUUAGCUAGUUGGCGGGGUAAAGGCCCACCGAGGCGACGAUCCGUAGCUGGUCUGAGAGGAUGAUCAGCCUCACUGGAACUGAGACACGGUCCAGACUCCUACGGGAGGCAGUAGUGGGGAAUAUUGGACAAUGGGCGCAAGCCUGAUCCAGCCAUACCGCGUGGGUGAAGAAGGCCUUCGGGUAGUAAAGCCCUUUUGUUGGGAAAGAAAUCCAUCUGGUUAAUACCCGGGUGGGAUGACGGUACCCAAAGAAUAAGCACCGGCUAACUUCGUGCCAGCCGCCGCCGUAA